UGGAUCAUUGAUGACCAGAAAAAAAAUCAUCUGGGAGUCCUCUGAGACAUCCAUGAUGACAAAAACAUUGGGAGUCUGAGGUCCAC
rnacentral:snoRNA from 1 species